AUACUUACCUGGACGGGGUCGACGGCUGAUCAAGAAAAGUCGUGGCCUAGGCUAGUGAUCCACAUUGCACUUGGUGGAUGCGCUGGCCUACCAUCUCCCUAAGUGGGAAAGUGGACGUCGUAAUUUAUGGUAGAGGGGGUACGCGUUCGCGCGGCCCCUGC
rnacentral:snRNA from 1 species